GUCCCAGACUCCUACGGGAGGCAGCAGUGGGGGAUAUUGCACAAUGGGGGAAACCCUGAUGCAGCGACGCCGCGUGAGUGAAGAAGUCUUUCGGUAUGUAAAGCUCUAUCAGCAGGGAAGAAAAUGACAGUACCUGACCAAGAAGCCCCGGCUAACUACGUGCCAGCAGCCGCGGUAAUACGUAGGGGGCAAGCGUUAUCCGGAUUUACUGGGUGUAAAGGGAGCGUAGACGGUUAUGUAAGUCUGGAGUGAAAGCCCGGGGCCCAACCCCGGGACUGCUUUGGAAACUGUGCAGCUAGAGUGCAGGAGAGGUAAGUGGAAUUCCUAGUGUAGCGGUGAAAUGCGUAGAUAUUAGGAGGAACACCAGUGGCGAAGGCGGCUUACUGGACUGUAACUGACGUUGAGGCUCGAAAGCGUGGGGAGCAAACAGGAUUAGAUACCCUAGUAGA
rnacentral:rRNA from 1 species